rnacentral:rRNA from 1 species
GAUGAACGCUGGCGGCGUGCCUAAUACAUGCAAGUCGAGCGAACAGAUGAGGAGCUUGCUCCUCUGACGUUAGCGGCGGACGGGUGAGUAACACGUGGAUAACCUACCUAUAAGACUGGGAUAGCUUCGGGAAACCGGAGCUAAUACCGGAUAAUAUAUUGAACCGCAUGGUUCAAUAGUGAAAGACGGUUUUGCUGUCACUUAUAGAUGGAUCCGCGCCGCAUUAGCUAGUUGGUAAGGUAACGGCUUACCAAGGCAACGAUGCGUAGCCGACCUGAGAGGGUGAUCAGCCACACUGGAACUGAGACACGGUCCAGACUCCUACGGGAGGCAGCAGUAGGGAAUCUUCCGCAAUGGGCGAAAGCCUGACGGAGCAACGCCGCGUGAGUGAUGAAGGUCUUCGGAUCGUAAAACUCUGUUAUUAGGGAAGAACAAAUGUGUAAGUAACUAUGCACGUCUUGACGGUACCUAAUCAGAAAGCCACGGCUAACUACGUG